rnacentral:lncRNA from 1 species
GACCUUUUCUCAUACACACCUCCAACACGUUUUUGGCAGAUAGAACACCAACACUUGUAAUAAUUUCUAUGACCCUGGUGGAAUGUCCCGAAUGUUGAUAGUCUAUUUAUUGAUAUACUGUAUGUUAAAUAAUAUGAUUUUAGGUGCUGUUUUAGGCUGAUAAAAUCCCCAGUAGGGAGUAAUAUUUUAGGUGCUGUUUUAGGCUGAUAAAAUCCCCAGUAGGGAGUAAUAUUUUAGGUGCUGUUUUAGGCUGAUAAAAUCCCCAGUAGGGAGUAAUGAGUCACUUAUUAUUUUAUAUGAAUGAGUAACAAGUUAUUGACCAAUCGGAAGCCUCGUGCUGUGCAAUACUAUUACUUCUCCCUUUUGUC